AUGAACGCUGGCGGCGUGCCUAAUACAUGCAAGUCGAGCGAACAGACGAGGAGCUUGCUCCUCUGACGUUAGCGGCGGACGGGUGAGUAACACGUGGAUAACCUACCUAUAAGACUGGGAUAACUUCGGGAAACCGGAGCUAAUACCGGAGAAUAUAUUGAACCGCAUGGGUCAAUAGUGAAAGACGGUUUUGCUGUCACUUAUAGAUGGAUCCGCGCCGCAUUAGCUAGUUGGUAAGGUAACGGCUUACCAAGGCGACGAUGCGUAGCCGACCUGAGAGGGUGAUCGGCCACACUGGAACUGAGACACGGUCCAGACUCCUACGGGAGGCAGCAGUAGGGAAUCUUCCGCAAAGGGCGAAAGCCUGACGGAGCAACGCCGCGUGAGUGAUGAAGGUCUUCGGAUCGUAAAACUCUGUUAUUAGGGAAGAACAAAUGUGUAAGUAACUAUGCACGUCUUGACGGUACCUAAUCAGAAAGCCACGGCUAACUACGUG
rnacentral:rRNA from 1 species